UUGCACUGGUCAAUCUAGUGGCGAACGGGUGAGUAACACGUGGGUAACCUGCCCAUCAGAGGGGGAUAACAUUCGGAAACGGAUGCUAAAACCGCAUAGGUCCUUUAACCGCAUGGUUGAAGGAGGAAAAGAGGCGCAAGCUUCUGCUGAUGGAUGGACCCGCGGUGCAUUAGCUAGUUGGUGAGGUAACGGCUCACCAAGGCCGUGAUGCAUAGCCGACCUGAGAGGGUGAUCGGCCACAUUGGGACUGAGACACGGCCCAAACUCCUACGGGAGGCAGCAGUAGGGAAUCUUCCGCAAUGGACGCAAGUCUGACGGAGCAACGCCGCGUGAGUGAAGAAGGUUUUCGGAUCGUAAAACUCUGUUGUUAGAGAAGAACAAGUGCUAGAGUAACUGUUAGCGCCUUGACGGUAUCUAACCAGAAAGCCACGGCUAACUACGUGCCAGCAGCCGCGGUAAUACGUAGGUGGCAAGCGUUGUCCGGAUUUAUUGGGCGUAAAGCGAGCGCAGGCGGUUCCUUAAGUCUGAUGUGAAAGCCCCCGGCUCAACCGGGGAGGGUCAUUGGAAACUGGGGAACUUGAGUGCAGAAGAGGAGAGUGGAAUUCCAUGUGUAGCGGUGAAAUGCGUAGAUAUAUGGAGGAACACCAGUGGCGAAGGCGACUCUCUGGUCUGUAACU
rnacentral:rRNA from 1 species